AGAGUGAACGCUGGCGGUAGGCCUAACACAUGCAAGUCGAACGGCAGCACAGUGGUAGCAAUACCAUGGGUGGCGAGUGGCGGACGGGUGAGGAAUACAUCGGAAUCUACCUUUUCGUGGGGGAUAACGUGGGGAAACUUACGCUAAUACCGCAUACGCCCGUUCGGGGGAAAGCCGGGGACCAGCAAUGGCCUGGCGCUGAUAGAUGAGCCGAUGUCGGAUUAGCUAGUUGGUGAGGUAAUGGCUCACCAAGGCGACGAUCCGUAGCUGGUCUGAGAGAUGAUCAGCCACACGUAGGAACUGGAGAC
rnacentral:rRNA from 1 species